rnacentral:rRNA from 1 species
AUGAAGCCUUUCGGGGUGGAUUAGUGGCGAACGGGUGAGUAACACGUGGGCACUCUGCCCUUCACUCUGGGACAAGCCCUGGAAACGGGGUCUAAUACCGGAUAACACUCUGUCCCGCAUGGGACGGGGUUAAAAGCUCCGGCGGUGAAGGAUGAGCCCGCGGCCUAUCAGCUUGUUGGUGGGGUAAUGGCCUACCAAGGCGACGACGGGUAGCCGGCCUGAGAGGGCGACCGGCCACAUGGGACUGAGACACGGCCCAGACUCCUACGGGAGUCAGCAGUGGGGAAUAUUGCACAAUGGG